GAAGCUGACUAAGCAGUCGCCGCCUGAGUAACCUGUGUUCAUAAGCAUGGUACAUUCAGGGGGAGGAAAGUCCGGGCUCCAUAGGGUACGGGUGCCAGGUAAUACCUGGGGGGCGUAAGUCAACGACUAGUGCAACAGAAAAUAAACCGCCGAUAACCUAAUUAAUUAGGUUAGGUAAGGGUGAAAUGGUGCGGUAAGAGCGCACCACGCAGCUGGUAACAGAAAGUGGUAUGGUAAACUCCACCCUGGAGAAAGGCCAAAUAGGAGCUCAUUAGGUGCGACCCGCACAGAGCUCGGGUGGGCUGCUUGAGCGAGUAAGUGAUUACUAGCCUAGAUGAAUGACUGUUCACGACAGAACCCGGCUUAUCGGUCAGCUUCCUGA
rnacentral:RNase_P_RNA from 1 species